rnacentral:rRNA from 1 species
UACGUAGGGUGCAAGCGUUAAUCGGAAUUACUGGGCGUAAAGCGUGCGCAGGCGGUUCGCUAAGACCGAUGUGAAAUCCCCGGGCUUAACCUGGGAACUGCAUUGGUGACUGGCGGGCUAGAGUAUGGCAGAGGGGGGGUAGAAUUCCACGUGUAGCAGUGAAAUGCGUAGAGAUGUGGAGGGACACCGAUGGCGAAGGCAGCCCCCUGGGCUGAGAUUGACGCUCAGGCACGAAAGCGUGGGGAGCAAACGGG